rnacentral:lncRNA from 1 species
GUUUUUUCCUUCCGAGGGGAUCCAUACAAUUGGGCUGGAACCUUUCCACAACAUCGUUUUCACCGUCCAUGGGCGCGACGUUUGCCCCUCGUCGCAGCUGUCAGAACCGGCACUGAUUCCUCUCUGCAGAGACUGAGCACUCUCUGCGUCCAGCCCCAUGACUCGAGUUUUGUCUCCAUUUUCGCCGGACAUGUCCCAAAUUUUUUUUCAUUUCCACGCUUCUCUGACCCGCCACGACCUCGCCUCACCAUAAUAUUCUGUCUUUUCCGGGACCAAGGCCUCUGUCACAGACGCCUACAGGCGGAGGGAAUUGCGCUGGAAGCGCUCCUUCUCCCGCCACCGCGUGUCGAUUCCCCAAACAUUCCUAAACAUUCCCCUAGUGAGAAGACAAAACUUUUUCAGGCAUGCAAGUCUUCGUUUUACCACGGUUCAACUCAUUUGGAGGAGCUGUCGGUGCACCGCCCGUGUAUGAUCGUACGCACGAGGAGCCACGUAUGGAACAGUCGAUGUCGAGAACAACUCCUGUCUUGUUUUGCUACGAGGCCUCUUCUGUGGAAGACUGUCUUCCUUCGCGCUGGCAUGAGGCCUAUGGUUGCGAGGUGACUCGUCGAGGAACCUGGAGUUCCUUCCAUGCAGGGGAGAGCCGCCAAAACGGAGCCACAGCAUAUCUCGGUUCGCAGACCACCCGGCUAGGCACAUUGUUCAAUAUUCGACCCGGCACACAGCCUCCAACCACCGACUGGGACGUUUCUCCGCCUUCCUUGAAACCACCGGCUUCGUUGGAGUCAAUAACAUCAGAUGUCCUCGUUUUCGUCUGCUCCUCAGUUUCCACACUGACUGCAGCUCUUUUCACGGUGUCAACAACCAUCCUGGCUGCCGUAGGUGCGGGGGUAGUUUUGUUAGGCGCAUGCGCAGUAGACUUGUGUUCG